rnacentral:rRNA from 1 species
GACGAACCGUGCGAACGUUGUUCGGAAUCACUGGGCUUAAAGGGCGCGUAGGCGGCUUGCCAAGUCAGGGGUGAAAUCUUUCGGCUUAACCGGAAAAGUGCCUUUGAUACUGGCAGGCUUGAGGGAGGUAGGGGCAUGUGGAACUUCUGGUGGAGCGGUGAAAUGCGUUGAUAUCAGAAGGAACGCCGGUGGCGAAAGCGACGUGCUGGCCCUCUUCUGACGCUGAGGCGCGAAAGCUAGGGUAGCGAACGGGAUUAGAACCU